rnacentral:rRNA from 1 species
GACGAACCGUCCAAACGUUAUUCGGAAUCACUGGGCUUACAGAGUUCGUAGGCGGUCUGGAAAGUUGGGUGUGAAAUCCCUCGGCCUAACCGAGGAACUGCGCUUGAAACUACCAGACUCGAGGGAGAUAGAGGAAAGCGGAACUGAUGGUGGAGCGGUGAAAUGCGUUGAUAUCAUCAGGAACACCGGUGGCGAAGGCGGCUUCUGGGUCUUACCUGACGCUGAGGAACGAAAGCCAGGG